rnacentral:rRNA from 1 species
CCUACGGGGGGCAGCAGUGGGGAAUAUUGGACAAUGGGGGGAACCCUGAUCCAGCGACGCCGCGUGAGUGAAGAAGGAUUUCGGUAUGUAAAGCUCUAUCAGCAGGGAAGAAAAUGACGGUACCUGACUAAGAAGCACCGGCUAACUACGUGCCAGAAGCCGCGGUAGUACGUAGGGGGCAAGCGUUAUCCGGAUGUACUGGGUGUAAAGGGGGCGUAGAGGGUGCAGCAAGUCUGAUGUGAAAGGUAGGGGCCCAACCCCGGGACUGCAUUGGAAACUGUUGAACUGGAGUACAGGAGAGGUAAGCGGAAUUCCUAGUGUAGCGGUGAAAUGCGUAGAUAUUAGGAGGAACACCAGUGGCGAAGGCGGCUUACUGGACUGUAACUGACGUUGAGGCUCGAAAGCGUGGGGAGCAAACAGGAUUAGAUACCCCGGUAGUC